rnacentral:rRNA from 1 species
AUUGAACGCUGGCGGCAGGCCUAACACAUGCAAGUCGAGCGGUAGAGAGGUGCUUGCAUCUCUUGAGAGCGGCGGACGGGUGAGUAAUGCCUAGGAAUCUGCCUAGUGGUGGGGGAUAACGUUCGGAAACGGACGCUAAUACCGCAUACGUCCUACGGGAGAAAGCGGGGGAUCUUCGGACCUCGCGCCAUUAGAUGAGCCUAGGUCGGAUUAGCUAGUUGGUGAGGUAAUGGCUCACCAAGGCGACGAUCCGUAACUGGUCUGAGAGGAUGAUCAGUCACACUGGAACUGAGACACGGUCCAGACUCCUACGGGAGGCAGCAGUGGGGAAUAUUGGACAAUGGGCGCAAGCCUGAUCCAGCAAUGCCGCGUGUGUGAAGAAGGUCUUCGGAUUGUAAAGCACUUUAAGUUGGAGGAAGGUAGUAACCUAAUACGUUGCUACUUUGACGUUACCGACAGAAUAAGCACCGG